UAAUAAUAAUAAGAUUUGUCUUAAGCACCACAUCAGCAUAUUAGAAUGAUUUCUGAAGGCUCAUGUGACUCUGAAGACUGGAGUAAUGAUGAUGAAAUUUCAGCUUCGUAAUCACAGGAAUAAAUUGCAUUUAAAAAUAUAUUAAAACAGUAUUACUAUUUUAUGGUAUUUUGGUCAAAUAAAUGCAGCCUCCUUAGUGUGCAUAGAUAGAUAGAUAGAUAGAUCGAUAGAUAGAUAGAUACUAAACACAUUUCACAGUUCACAGUUCACAUGCUGUGCCCCUGCAGCCUUCAAGUACACAGCAAGUUCCACUAAAACCUGUUUUCCAUGAUCUUGUAUUGAUGGCAUGCUUGCUAACAGCACUUUUUGUUACUUUCUAAAGAGUUUGUAUCAACGCCAUGAGCCAAAUAUGCAUCAGACAUCUCCACUGAGACGCUGAUGUGAAGGAAGGUUGAACAGCUCUAUACACAAACACAGCAAACAAACAUAUACAAGCAUAUAUAAGACACAGCAUCCACAUACCCUCAGGCUUAGCCCAGGCAUUCUAGAGGGAGCCAGGCUCAGAGGGGGUUGCCAUGGAGACCCGUUUACUGCACUGUGUUCCCCAUGUGCACUGUGGCCAGAUGAUUGCCCCCCUCAUCUCAAGGGAUCACAUCACACACACACACACACACACACACAUGCAUACUUUCAUGUACACACACAUGCACACACACACACACAGUGCAUUGCCAGACAAGCCAACAAAGCUGCAAUACUUGUCCUGUUGAUUCAGCCUUUCUCCACAAAAUUAAAAGUUGGGGUACUCAAGGAGACUUCACCACCACUCACCCACUUCCAGCUGUAA
rnacentral:lncRNA from 1 species